rnacentral:rRNA from 1 species
AUACGGAGGGGGCUAGCGUUGUUCGGAAUUACUGGGCGUAAAGGGCGCGUAGGUGGUUCGGCUAGUCGGAUGUGAAAGCCCCGGGCUCAACUCGGGAACUGCAUUUGAAACUGCCUGACUAGAGUGUGAUAGAGGAGAGUGGAAUUCUCGGUGUAGCGGUGAAAUGCGUAGAUAUCCGGAGGAACACCAGUGGCGAAGGCGGCUUCCUGGACCAAUACUGACGCUGAGGUGCGAAAGCGUGGGGAGCAAACAGGAUUAGAAACCCCGGUAGUCC